CCUACGGGUGGCAGCAGUGAGGAAUAUUGGUCAAUGGGCGCGAGCCUGAACCAGCCAAGUCGCGUGAGGGAGGACGGCCCUACGGGUUGUAAACCUCUUUUGCCGGGGAGCAACGGGCGUCACGUGUGGCGCCACUGAGAGUACCCGGAGAAAAAGCAUCGGCUAACUCGUUGCCAGCAGCCGCGGUAGUACGGAGGAUGCGAGCGUUAUCAGGAUUGAUUGGGUUAAAGGGAUGCGUAGGCGGACAGUUAAGUCAGUGGUAAAAUUGAGGGUCUAAACCCCUUCCCGCCAUUGAAACUGGCGCUCUUGAGUGGAAGAGAAGUAUGCGGAAUGCGUGGUGUAGCGGUGAAAUGCAUAGAUAUCACGCAGAACCCCGAUUGCGAAGGCAGCAUGCCGGCUUCCGACUGACGCUGAAGCACGAAAGCGUGGGGAUCGAACAGGAUUAGAUACCCGUGUAGUC
rnacentral:rRNA from 1 species